UACGGGAGGCAGCAGUGGGGAAUAUUGCACAAUGGGCGCAAGCCUGAUGCAGCCAUGCCGCGUGUAUGAAGAAGGCCUUCGGGUUGUAAAGUACUUUCAGUCGUGAGGAAGGUGUUAAGGUUAAUAACCUUAGCAAUUGACGUUAGCGACAGAAGAAGCACCGGCUAACUCCGUGCCAGCAGCCGCGGUAAUACGGAGGGUGCGAGCGUUAAUCGGAAUUACUGGGCGUAAAGGGCACGCAGGCGGUUAAUUAAGUUGGAUGUGAAUCCCCGGGCUUAACCUGGGAAUGGCAUUCAAGACUGGUUAGCUAGAGUCUUGUAGAGGGGGUAGAAUUCCAUGUGUAGCGGUGAAAUGCGUAGAGAUGUGGAGGAAUACCGGUGGCGAAGGCGGCCCCUGGACAAAGACUGACGCUCAUGUGCGAAAGCGUGGGGAGCGAAACAGGGAUUUAGAUACC
rnacentral:rRNA from 1 species